CCUACGGGUGGCAGCAGUGAGGAAUAUUGGUCAAUGGUCGGGAGACUGAACCAGCCAAGCCGCGUGAGGGAGGAAGGUACAGAGUAUCGUAAACCUCUUUUGUCAGGGAACAAAGACUGGGACGCGUCCCCGGAUGAGUGUACCUGAAGAAAAAGCAUCGGCUAACUCCGUGCCAGCAGCCGCGGUAAUACGGAGGAUGCGAGCUUUAUCCGGAUUUAUUGGGUUAAAAGGGUGCGCAGGCGGACUGUUAGGGCAGCGGUAAAAGCCCGGGGAUAAACCCCGUCCCGCCGUUGAAACUGGCAGUCUCGAGUUGGAGAGAAGUAUGCGGAAUGCGCGGUGUAGCGGUGAAAUGCAUAGAUAUCGCGCAGAACUCCGAUUGCGAAGGCAGCAUGCCGGCUCCACACUGACGCUGAGGCACGAAAGCGUGGGUAUCGAACAGGAUUAGAUACCCGAGUAGUC
rnacentral:rRNA from 1 species